rnacentral:rRNA from 1 species
AGGGUUUGAUCAUGGCUCAGAAUGUACGCUGGCGGUAGGCUUAACACAUGCAAGUCGUGCGAGAAAGUAUCUUCGGAUAUGAGUAGAGCGGCGGACGGGUGAGUAACGCGUAGGAAUCUACCUAGUAGAAGGGGAUAGCCCGAGGAAACUCGGAUUAAUACCGUAUACCUCCUUAGGGAGAAAGAGGGCCUCUCUUGAUGCUCUCGCUAUUAGAUGAGCCUGCGUAAGAUUAGCUUGUUGGUGAGGUAAUGGCUCACCAAGGCUACGAUCUUUAGCUGGUCUGAGAGGACGAUCAGCCACAUUGGGACUGAGACACGGCCCAGACUCCUACGGGAGGCAGCAGUGGGGAAUAUUGGACAAUGGGCGCAAGCCUGAUCCAGCCAUACCGCGUGUGUGAAGAAGGCCUUCGGGUUGUAAAGCACUUUAAGCAGGGAGAAAAAGUUAUAAGUUAAUACCUUAUAACCGUGAUGUUACCUGCAGAAUAAGCACCGGCUAAUUCCGUGCCAGCCGCCGCGGUAAUAC